GAACGCACAUUGCGCCCCUUGGUAUUCCAUGGGGCAUGCCUGUUCGAGCGUCAUUUGUACCUUCAAGCUAUGCUUGGUGUUGGGUGUUUGUCCUCUCCCCUGCGUUUGGACUCGCCUUAAAGUCAUUGGCAGCCUGUAUACUGGUUUUGAGCGCAGCACAUUUUGCGUCUUGCAUCUAGUAAUACUAGCAUCCAUCAAGCCCUUUAUCACUUUUGACCUCGGAUCAGGUAGGGAUACCCGCUGAACUUAAG
rnacentral:misc_RNA from 1 species